AAAAGCUCCACUGAGAUUUUUCAUGCGUUGCUCUUAUAUAACAUGAUCUCAUUUUGUUUUACAUUAUGUGACUAUGUGAACCAUUGUGAUGUAUGUGCACAUCAAUAAUGAACUAAACUGAUGACAGUAUGAAUAUUUGCAUUAGCCUUACUUUUAGAGAGAUAAAAGAUUAUCAAUUGCUACAAAGAAGACAACCUACUGUAGUAAAUUUUGUUGAAUUUGGAUAUGAAGCAUUCCAAGAGUACUGAUUUUUAUAAUCUAUUCACUCUGUUUGUGUGAUCUCAACAGGAUGUCAUUCCACUUGUAGAGUUCAUCCAGGCUUGUAGGAAUUCAUCCAAUUGUCAUGGAGUCAUCAGCAAUGCCAGAUCCUUCAGCCCCACCCACUCGUUCACAAUCACCAAAGUUCUGAUUCUCCUCACCUGUCUGCACUAAUCUACCACAGUAUAAAGCCACCUUCCUGUCACCACCUCAGUGUCUGGUCUUGUUGUUAAUUUUUGAAUCAACUUACCAGAUUUGUGCUAUGAUCCUGUCAUAUUAACUCCUCUGCUCAGCAUUCUGGAUUCCCCAUGACCCUGCAAAUCAAGGACAGUGUUACUGCUCUGACCAAACCCAACAUGCAAAACCACACAGAGCUGAGCAGCACUCAGAGCCCAGAUCUGUUUGCUGAGCUCGCACAGGCCAUCCAUCAGUCUCUUCAGCCACUCUCCACCACUGUUUCACAAUCUGUGAAUGCAGCAGAUUCCUGCUCCAAUGCUUGCAUUUUAUAAUCUCGGCUCUCUCCAAAUAUCCACCUGGCCAAGAUUCUUACAAGUAUUUUGCAAAAUGUGAGGACUUGCAACUAAUUAAAAUGUGGGGUGAGGAUUUAUCUAGAUAUUCAUCAAGGACACAAUUAAAGUCACCUCCUAAAAAUUGAAUGCUCUUGCAAUGCCGAUUAAUCUAACAUCACAUACGACAGUUUGUGAUAGCAGUUUGGAGCAUAUACGUUCCUACAGUGAUAUGUCGUCCAAGAAUGAAACCAGAACUUAAUGCAAAUUUUCAAAAUCAUAUUCUGUAGGCUCAAGAAUAAAUGUAGUUUUUAUGAAUGGGAAUUGCAGCAUCCCUGCUAUUUGAUGUAAAUGAGGAAAAAUAAAUCUUACCAACCCAAUGACUUUUCAACUUUAUAUGUACUUUUUUUUUUUUUUUUUUUUUUUUUUUUUUUUUUUUUUUUAAGGAACAUUAAAAUUCUUCUUCUUAAUUACAUUUAAAAGGUUACUAAUUUAAGUGUUCUGCAUACAAAAACAGCAAAGUAGAGUUACAAGAAUGAGAACAUGCAAAAAUACACGACAAAUAAUCAGUAUGAGAUACCAAAUACAAACAGAAGAGUACCACAAGUAAAACGAACAAACCUGGAAAACC
rnacentral:lncRNA from 12 species